rnacentral:rRNA from 1 species
AGUCGAACGAAGUCUUCGGACUUAGUGGCGGACGGGUGAGUAACACGUGGGAACGUGCCUUUAGGUUCGGAAUAACUCAGGGAAACUUGUGCUAAUACCGAAUGUGCCCUUCGGGGGAAAGAUUUAUCGCCUUUAGAGCGGCCCGCGUCUGAUUAGCUAGUUGGUGAGGUAAAGGCUCACCAAGGCGACGAUCAGUAGCUGGUCUGAGAGGAUGAUCAGCCACAUUGGGACUGAGACACGGCCCAAACUCCUACGGGAGGCAGCAGUGGGGAAUCUUGCGCAAUGGGCGAAAGCCUGACGCAGCCAUGCCGCGUGAAUGAUGAAGGUCUUAGGAUUGUAAAAUUCUUUCACCGGGGACGAUAAUGACGGUACCCGGAGAAGAAGCCCCGGCUAACUUCGUGCCAGCAGCCGCGGUAAUACGAAGGGGGCUAGCGUUGCUCGGAAUUACUGGGCGUAAAGGGAGCGUAGGCGGACAUUUAAGUCAGGGGUGAAAUCCCGGGGCUCAACCUCGGAAUUGCCUUUGAUACUGGGUGUCUUGAGUGUGNNNGAGGUAUGUGGAACUCCG